AAUUAUUAUACAGUUUUGUAUAUCCAGAUGCUUAAUAUUUUUACUUAUAUUCUGUAGAUAGUUUGUUCUUUGCAUAGAAGAGAAUAUAGGUGAGCUGGUGCAUCCGCAUUGUGCUUUUUUACUUCCUUUCUUCCUUUCAUCUUGUAUCACUGGGGAUAGGCAGAGGAUAAGGACUAAAAAUUGGAGACAGCCAUAUCCUGAGUCACUGUCUUAACUUGUUUAAACAAUUGACUAGAGUCUCACUCAUUCUCCAACCGGAUCUACAACACAUUUCACUGAUGAGGGCUAUGAUGAUGAUGAGGAUGAAGAUGACACUGAAGACUAUAGCUGAUAGUUUUAAUAUGGUUAAACAAUAUACUAAGAAUUAUAGUUGAUGAUCAAUACAUUUUGUUUAUGUUUUGAAUUAUAUUGACUUGCUUGUUUAUAAUAUUUUUCUUUUAGUUUGAUAA